rnacentral:rRNA from 1 species
AUUGAACGCUGGCGGCAUGCCUUACACAUGCAAGUCGAACGGCAGCACGGGAGCAAUCCUGGUGGCGAGUGGCGAACGGGUGAGUAAUACAUCGGAACGUGCCCAGUAGUGGGGGAUAGCCCGGCGAAAGCCGGAUUAAUACCGCAUACGACCUGAGGGUGAAAGCGGGGGAUCGCAAGACCUUGCGCUAUUGGAGCGGCCGAUGUCGGAUUAGCUAGUUGGUGAGGUAAGAGCUCACCAAGGCUACGAUCCGUAGCUGGUCUGAGAGGACGACCAGCCACACUGGGACUGAGACACGGCCCAGACUCCUACGGGAGGCAGCAGUGGGGAAUUUUUGGGACAAUGGGCGCAAGCCUGAUCCAGCCAUGCCGCGUGCGGGAAGAAGGCCUUCGGGUUGUAAACCG